UAUAGACUGAUCAGCCAGGGGCUUGAUCCUUCUCUCACAACUGUAUAGAGUGGUGGUAACUCAACGGGCUUUAAUGUAGUUACUCUGACACAACUGGUAUAAAUGAGAAGAAAAUCAGGCCCUGAAAUUCUGUAGACCUGGAAUUUAUUUCCAACUCUGCCACUAAUUUAUGCAAUUUUGACAAAUGCUUAUUGGCAGACAUGAAGACCGAAGUCCUCUAUUUAUCAACUGAACAAGUAUAGCACUGGAAUCAGGAAUGCAGAAACUGCCAUCUUUGAGUUUCAACCCUGUGACCUGACCAGCUCUAGGUAUGAGAAGCUGGAGUGGUGGGAUAAUCAGCUGAACAAGAGCUAUCAGUGUGAUGCUGUGGCCAAAAGGACUCAUAAGGGGCAAGGCUGGGGAGGAAGGCAGACCUACCCUGAGGACCCUUGAACAAGGAUGCCAAAGAAGCCUUACUGUGAGGAAGAAGACUAUCUGCUGAUCAUAGUGGGGGCUGAAGGUUUAGUUGUCUUCUCUUUUCUUUUGCUAUCUUAUAUUGGACUUAAAGACUUUUGGGGAGACAGAUGGUAAGAAUUGAUCCACACUGGCAUCUCUGAAACAAUCUAGAGUGCCUAAUAUUAUUGACCCUCGGAGGGCCCUAGUUCAGAGCCUGAUGGAGUGGGAUGGCCCAGGCUCCCAUACCAACUGCCUUUGUUGCAAGAGGGGCAUAAACCUCAUUUUUACUCCACCUUCACCUCUAGUAAGGAGAGCGUAAGGACACUGAAAAUGCUGAGGUGAGGAUAAGCCACAUAUAAGUAUUAGGAACUAGACUGAAGGUCCUGCUGGGAGGCAAGAAACUGAAAACCAGGUAUGCUAACCACUAGGCCACCUAGCCUUCCAACUACUCUACUAGAGAUGCAUAAAUGGAGGGAAUCUCAAGUAGGAGUAGAGAGGUCAUUUUACCACUGUAUUUGGCACUGAUGCAGCU